rnacentral:rRNA from 1 species
UGAGGAAUAUUGGUCAAUGGGCGCGAGCCUGAACCAGCCAAGUAGCGUGAAGGAUGACUGCCCUACGGGUUGUAAACUUCUUUUAUAAAGGAAUAAAGUGAGGCACGUGUGCCUUUUUGUAUGUACUUUAUGAAUAAGGAUCGGCUAACUCCGUGCCAGCAGCCGCGGUAAUACGGAGGAUCCGAGCGUUAUCCGGAUUUAUUGGGUUUAAAGGGAGCGUAGAUGGGUUGUUAAGUCAGUUGUGAAAGUUUGCGGCUCAACCGUAAAAUUGCAGUUGAUACUGGAUAUCUUGAGUGCAGUUGAGGCAGGCGGAAUUCGUGGUGUAGCGGUGAAAUGCUUAGAUAUCACGAAGAACUCCGAUUGCGAAGGCAGCCUGCUAAGCUGCAACUGACAUUGAGGCUCGAAAGUGUGGGUAUCAAACAGG